rnacentral:tRNA from 5 species
GGUAGUUCAGUUGGUUAGAAUACCUGCCUGUCACGCAGGGGGUCGCGGGUUCGAGUCCCGUCC